GUCGUCUCGCCGCGGGAGGGAGCCGCCGCCCACCCGUCGUUCCUUCCUUCGCCGCGGGAGGGAGCCGCCGCCCACCCGCCGUUUCUCCCUUUGCCGCGGGAGGGAGCCGCCGCCCCCCGCCAUUCCUCCCUUGGCCGCGGGAGAGAGCCGCCCCCCGCCGUUCCUUCUCUCGCCGCGGGAGAGAGCCGUCGUGCCCUUCGCCGCGAGAGUUGAGCUUCAGCUUGGCCUCCGCACCGAUGUUCCUCUUAUGCUUCCCGUCGGCCACAAGUAAGUUUCUUGUACACUGAAGCUCAACUGUUCCUAAUCUGCAGACUACAGACGACCUACCUUUUUGCGUUCUGAUGAAUUUUGGCCCUCUUAGACUUUGUUCCACAUUUGCCUUGCAUUUCAACCAAAGGGAUUGAGUUGCCUUUCAACCAAAGGAAUUGAUACAAAUGCAUUGUGAACAACUAGGUGGUAACAAAGGGAUUGAUACAAAUGCAUUGUGAACAACUAGGUGGUAACAGAACAUCAAUUGAAGUGGGAAGAUGGGGCAGCGGCGGCAUGCUAUACUGUCUUGGGCUCCCGUCCCCUGUCGUAAUCAAAUCACAACCAUUGUUGGUGAGGCUUCAGUUAACAUUCCCAUCUUCCUAGCCACUACAACGAUAAUCGGGUAACUAUGAGUCAUCAAACUGAAGUUGGCUUCUUCAUCUGUAUUUCUUAGAUGUGUGCCGAGAUAGUAGCGAGGCUUUGUUCUUAUUUCUAAUAAUUAGAUGCAGAUAUUUAGACAUUUGCUUCAGUGAUUACAAACUGAAGAAUGUGGACUGAUUUGUUAAUUUAAUUGUCAAAUUUGGUGUUGUCGGAUUUCUAUUUGUAGGUUAAUAUUCAGUGCAUGAGAAGCAUGUAUUGUGUCAUUUUCUUCUGUCAAUAUUCAGUUUGAACCAAUUAGGCGACCAAUUUGUGCUAAUUUCUAUUCAUACGUGGUCUCUGUGUAUAGAGGCUCCAAGAAAGAAGGAUGGGUGUGUAAUACGUAGUCAUGUAUUGGUUCAUUCUUUUCCACUUACAAAUGUUUUAAGAAAUCAACUAGCCUGCUUCGAAGCUGGGGACCCAUGAGUGUUAUUGUGCAAUUCCAGCUUCCAGAUUAUAAUGAGGAUCAUGGAGCUGUAGGUAGAAUGCAAUGACUUACAGUAAUGUCUACUGACUUGGCAAGAGGUUUCUUAUCAAACUAUUCACAUCUUAUUUAUAUUGUCCAUGCUAUUUGAAGGUGAAUAACUAUCUUUCAGAAUUGUGUACAUUUGGUAAAUUAUUAUUGUCCCUACGAAGCGACUUUCAGUUUAUAUAGAGAAAUUAUUUUAUGACACUACAUGAUUAAGGGAGAACAUACAUACGAUUGGGGAAAAAAAAGCAUGGGGUGACGACAAAUGGGUGCCUCUCUCAGAAGGGAUCAGGUGGAGGCUCACCGGCUGCAGCGAUGGCCACUAGCGUGAGCUGUGAAGCGCGUGGAGGCGAGAGCCUCAUGGCCUGUUGAUACGGCGCAUAAUUGCAACCCUCCAAUUCAUGUAAGUUUGUUGAUUGUGUUCUCAGUUGUCUAAGUUGUUAUAGACGCGGAUAGUGUGCAAAAUGGUGGAAUGGAAAGACCAAUAUUCUGACAGUGUGUGAGAGAUUUAUACUGAUACUAAAUUGCUAGCUGCUUGCUGAUGGGAAGCUAUCAUUGAUAGAGCAUUCAGUUGGGGGCUUACGCUCACGCAAGUACAUGGAGGAAUUCGAGACGCCUGACCUAAGUUUACUACUCCCUCCACUUAAAUGAAUAAGGCGCACACACAUUUCAAAAUCUAACUUUGGCCAUCAAUUUAACAGCCGGGGGUAUUCCUCCUUUUCGUAAAAAAAUCAAUUUAACAAACCAAAUGUGGGUUAUACCUAAUAAAAGUUAUACCGUUGAGCUCAUUUUUGAGAAAAAAUUAGUACUGCCUUCGUGCGGAAAUACUUAUCGCUAAAUGGAUGUAUCUAAACAUAUUUCAGUUCUAGAUACAUCCGUUCGAGUGACAAGAAUUUCCGGACGGAGGGAGUAGUAUAAUUUUCAAGUCACAUAAGUUGCUUGAUCUCUCCCUACUCCAUGUUAAAGAAUUCUGAUUCAGCCGAUUCCCCUGCUGAAUGCUUGUGUUUCGUACUUUCAUUUAAGUUGCCUCUUAAAAAUAAGUGUACUGUCUUUUGUGUUCCACAUAUCACAUUUGAUUUGAUCUCUGUGGGGCAGAAUAAAUACUGUAUGUUUUACAUGUGGGUUGAUGCACAGAAGUCAUUUGCUGCACGUCUUUAUUCCUACAAGCUUUACUAUUAUAACUUGAUAGCAUGUGGAAUUUUGGAUAAUUGCAGCGCCUCACCCCGCUCCACUCCAUGCCAGCCCCACAGUCAUGUUAUUGAACAUUGGAGAGAAACCGAGCACCACUUUUCACUUGAAUUAGAAACACCAAAGGUUUGGGAUUAUGCUCGUGACGACUAUGUCCAUCAUGUAUCGUGUCCAAAGCAGAUGGUAUGUGUUCAUAUGUAAUGGUGGUGCAGUAAUGGAUCAAGCUCUAUUGAACAGGAAAGUUAAGCUGUAAUCUAUGGUAUGUUUCUGUAUAUUUUCUUUUACAAACGUGCUACUUCUCUUCUUUUAGAUUGUUGGAUAGUACAAUGAUCUGGUCAACGUUUAUUACCAGCUUAUAAGUUCAUUGUGACUCUGGUUUUGUGCUAAUGUAGUACUGAUAUGAGUCACUUCUGCUAGAAAUCAAAGAGAAUUAAAUGUAAGUUUCUGCUACUGCA
rnacentral:lncRNA from 1 species